AUUAGCACAAAGGAAAAUUUUUAGGUAAUACAAAGCGGUAAUGAAGAAGUUCCAUCUUUAUAUGAAGAGCACAAAACGGCUUCCUCGACAAGAACAUCAGAGUAGAAAAGAGUUGCAGGAAAACUAAUAUCUGCUGCAAAAGGUUGACUGCAUCAAAACUUAAAAGACGCAUAUUCAAGAUAUAUGAUUAUACUGAUUCUACUACAUCCACAAAAUGAAAUAUUAGCGGCAUAUUCCUGUACAGCAGCGAAAGAAACACCACUCUCACAAAGCACGGCAUACUUUUGGUUAGUUAAGUUUUGUGUAUGUGUAGAUGUCUAUGAACACUCCUGUCGAUUUCUUCGUUUUGGUAAUUUCUUGGAAAAAUAUUCACUAAAUGGCUUCUCAGGGACAGGUAUCAACUUGCCAAGAACAGCAAGGGGCCAGCUUAUUACUCCAAUGACAAUGGAAACUAGCCAUAAUUGCCAACUCAAUCUCACAGUUGAAGUGAAUUUUCCAAGGAAGAAUAUUAUGAUAACCUGAAGCACCACUGUGAGGCCGACGAUUGAAACAAAUAGACGGUUUUUGAGGACUCCUUUGAACACAUUCAUCUCAUCUGGCUUCCGAGCAUUGAAUUCAUUGAAUACUUGGCAGAAGACAAAAGCAUUGAAAAUCAAGGUGUUCUUCACUUCAAUAGCCCGAGCACUCGUCUCAUGAUCCAAAUGCAGAAUUUGUUUACCUCGGAAAUUGAGGACCAGGAGAACUGAAACUUGAUACAGAGCCUGUAUUAAUAGGUUUCUCCACAUGAUAUUGGUGACUAGAGGUUCCCUUCGACCAACAGGUUCUCGGUGCAUAAGGUGAUCAGUUGGUGGUUCUGUGGCCAGUGCAAGCGCCCCCAAGGUGUCCAUAAUAAGGUUUACCCAAAGUAGCUGAACAGCAUUCAAUGGGACAUCACCA
rnacentral:misc_RNA from 1 species